UACAGAGGGUGCAAGCGUUAAUCGGAUUUACUGGGCGUAAAGCGUGCGUAGGCGGUUUGUUAAGUCGGUUGUGAAAGCCCUGGGCUUAACCUGGGAAUUGCAGUCGAUACUGGCAGGCUAGAGAACGGUAGAGGGAGGCGGAACUCCAGGUGUAGCGGUGAAAUGCGUAGAUAUCUGGAAGAACACCGAUGGCGAAGGCAACCUCCUGGGCCUGUUCUGACGCUGAGGCACGAAAGCGUGGGUAG
rnacentral:rRNA from 1 species